CAGGACAGCAGGGGGCGGGGCGCCGCGGGCCUCUAAGCCCCACAGGUCAGGGUCUCGGGCGCAGUCUGGGUUCGGCCCGAGGGAGCAGCGAUGUCGCGGCUGCUGGUGCGCGGGGGCCGCGUGGUGCACCCCGACUACUCAGAGGAUGUCGACGUGCUGGUGGAGGACGGCCUGGUGCGCGCGCUCGGUCGGGGGCUGCGGGCACCCGCAGGGACCCGCGUGCUGGACGCGGCAGGGAAGCUGGUGCUGCCCGGGGGCAUCGACCCCCACACGCACAUGCAGCUGCCCUUCAUGGGCACCUGUUCCGCUGACGACUUCCUGCGAGGCACCCAGGCUGCUCUGGCGGGAGGCACCACCACCAUCAUCGACUUCGCCAUCCCUCCAAGGGGCGGCUCUCUCCUGGACGCCUUCGACACCUGGCGGCGCUGGGCCGACCCCAAAGUCUGCUGCGACUACAGCCUGCACGUGGCCGUGACCUGGUGGAGCGAGCAGGUCAAAGAAGAAAUGGCCAUCCUGGCCCGGGAGAAAGGUGUCAGCUCCUUCAAGAUGUUCAUGGCCUACAGGGACCUGUUCAUGGUGCGGGACCCAGAACUGUACGCUGCCUUCGAGCAGUGCAAGGAGAUUGGAGCUGUCGCUCAGGUCCACGCAGAAAACGGAGACAUCAUCGCAGAGGGGGCCAAGAAGAUGCUGGCACUGGGCAUCACAGGCCCCGAGGGCCAUGAGCUGUGCCGGCCGGAGGCCGUGGAGGCAGAGGCCACCCUGCGGGCCAUCACGCUGGCCGAUGCGGUGAACUGUCCCCUCUACGUGGUGCACGUGAUGAGCAAGUCUGCAGCCACAGUCAUAGCGGACGCCAGGAGAGAUGGGAAGGUGGUGUACGGGGAGCCCAUAGUGGCCAGCCUGGGCACCGACGGCACUCACUACUGGGAUAAAGAAUGGAGCCACGCGGCCCACCACGUCAUGAGCCCACCCCUGCGGCCCGACCCCUCGACGCCAGGAUUUCUCAUGAACCUGCUGGCUAACGACGAUCUGACCACGACAGCUACUGACCACUGCACCUUCAACACCUGCCAGAAAGCUCUUGGGAAGGACGACUUUACCAAGAUCCCCAACGGGGUGAAUGGUGUGGAAGACCGGAUGUCCGUCAUAUGGGAAAAAGGCGUGCAUAGUGGUAAAAUGGAUGAAAACCGGUUUGUGGCGGUCACCAGCACGAAUGCAGCCAAAAUCUUCAAUCUUUACCCGAGGAAAGGAAGAAUAGCCGUGGGGUCCGACGCGGACAUGGUGAUCUGGGACCCGGACGCCACGAGGACCAUCUCGGCCAAGACUCACCAUCAGGCUGUGAACUUCAACAUCUUCGAGGGCAUGGAGUGCCACGGCGUGCCGCUGGUGACCAUUUCCAGGGGCCAGGUGGUAUACGAGGCCGGAGCGCUCAGCGUUGCCCCAGGCCACGGGAAGUUUAUCCCACGCAAACCGUUUGCUGAGUAUGUCUACAAGCGGAUCCGGCAGCGAGACCAGGUUUCCAGCUUAGGGAGCCAGAGUGCAUUCGAAGCAGGCGACCCGGCCACAGAACCCGGGCUGCUGACCCACGGAGUUGGAGUUGCUGCCUCUGGCUGCUGACUUGCACACCCACCCCUGUGGAGCGGGCACCCUACAAGGGAGAAGUCAUCACCCUGACAUCUGGCCAGGCACCAGAGGACACCACAGUGGGGACCGGGAGGCAGGCCACCUCCUAAUCCAGGUGCUGGGGUGAAAUCAGGGGAGGCACCUCGGCUCCCUUCCUGGAGAAGAGAGGUCGCCGGUCUCAGCACCCUGAGGAUCUUCGGGAACGGCUGCUCCAGCCUCUUGGAUGUCCUUUCCGAGUGACCACUAGCUUCUUGCCACACCUCUGUCACUGUGGUGAGACGGAGACAGAAACGAGUGCCACUGCCAUGGGACGCCUGCGUGACAGUUCUGAUCGGGACUGUCAGCCGCCGUCCUUUGCCAGCACUAGUUUCUUUCUCUGGCUUUUUAAAAAUCACUUCUUGUUUAAAGAUUUUUAAAUGGCUAGUUUGUUUUAAACUAGAGCUGCAGUGUUGCCUCUGGUGUAAUUAAUAAACCUUGAGAUCCUCACAUCUGAA